CGGCGAGGGGAGUGAAAAAGAACCUGAAACCGUGUACGUACAAGCAGUGGGAGCCCCACCACCAAAGCAUUCUCUGGUGUUGAAGGCCCUGCAAAGCAGCAUCGCGGUGGCGGAGCGUCUUUAGCGACGCCCAACACAAAAAACAAGCGGUGAGUGCUUUGGGGUGGGGUGACUGCGUACCUUUUGUAUAAUGGGUCAGCGACUUAUAUUCUGUAGCAA
rnacentral:rRNA from 1 species